GAAGAGGCAAAAUGGAUCCUCUCAUCGUAUGGAUAGCAUACACACAUAAAUUUCACAAUAGGCAUAGCAGUUACAUUUGCUAGGUGACUCACACUCACAAAUUCCUAUCCACGUCUAAAUUAGGUUUCAAACUCUAUCCAUGUGCAGGUUCAACAUACCCGCUGAACUUCAACCACUGACGCACCUUCCCUUCAUUGAUUCAGACUAAACGAGUAGGCAUUCAAGGUCCUUACACUCUACACUCUUUUCAAAUCUCUCUCAUUUUUAAUUCACUUAUUUCCUGCUUAAGAUCUUAAUUUCUAUACAUAAUUAAACACAAACACACAGAUAAUUCACGAUAUCAUUAUGCACAUCAGAACCAUACAUUUCUCAAAUCACUUUAUGAGUCAUCUUGUACCAGAUCGGACAGUAAGCACAGGAUAUUCAGAUUUUUUGUGAAACUAUACUAGAUCACACAGAAAGUACAGUGUGUCGUAUAUC
rnacentral:lncRNA from 1 species